GAAUCAACCUUCUCUCUGAGCUGAAACAAGAUUCAAAAUACAACCUCAGCAUUCUCAUUGAUGAUCAUUGUGGAAGUCACCGGAUGAUACCAGGAUUCAAGAAAUAUGCCUGCGAGCUCACGUUGGACCCCAACACAGCUCAUAAGAACCUCUGCCUGUCUGAAGAGAACAGGAAGGGUGACCUGGGG